GACGAACGCUGGCGGCGUGCCUAACACAUGCAAGUCGAGCGAAGAACUUCGGUUCUUAGCGGCGGACGGGUGAGUAACACGUGGGUAACCUGCCUCAAAGAGGGGGAUAGCCUCCCGAAAGGGAGAUUAAUACCGCAUAAUAUCAGGAUCUCGCAUGAGAACUUGAUUAAAGGAGCAAUCCGCUUUGAGAUGGACCCGCGGCGCAUUAGCUAGUUGGUGAGGUAACGGCUCACCAAGGCGACGAUGCGUAGCCGACCUGAGAGGGUGAUCGGCCACAUUGGAACUGAGACACGGUCCAGACUCCUACGGGAGGCAGCAGUGGGGAAUAUUGCACAAUGGGCGAAAGCCUGAUGCAGCAACGCCGCGUGAGUGAUGAAGGCCUUCGGGUUGUAAAACUCUGUCUUCUGGGACGAUAAUGACGGUACCAGAGGAGGAAGCCACGGCUAACUACGUGCCAGCCGCCGCAGUAA
rnacentral:rRNA from 1 species